UAAAAUGCAUCACGAUGGUGACGAAACAACGGAGUAGAUGGAGUUGGUUCCCUAACCAAAUCGUAGUAUCAGUCAAUGUUGGUUUAAGCAAAGCGUGUCCUGGAACUUUGCUGACAUAGGUUAAGCGUGUCGGAUAUUUUGCUAUGUUGAUGUGGUGGUGUCUCGGAGGCGCUUUAUACGGUGUCCGUAUGCUGGCGUUAGUACUCUAUGAAACCUGGAACCUCGGACCUCUUUAUGCCUGGUAGUCGUGUUAUAAUCUUUCGGAAACCGGACCGGUUGAGCCAUGAAUUUUGGACGGAACCAUGUAAGUUAUGUUGGCUGUUGUAAAUGCUCUCGGCAUGGCUUGAUGUUGAACUGAAAUGCCCCACGCGAACUGCUGAACUGUUGUGCACAUCUGUGCCUUGCUUGUGCUCUAUAGCAAGUUUUCU
rnacentral:lncRNA from 1 species